rnacentral:pre_miRNA from 1 species
AUGGGCGUCUUACCAGACACGGUUAGACCUGGUCCUUGUGUCUAAUACUGUCUGGUAAUGCCGUCCGU